rnacentral:lncRNA from 1 species
GGUUCCUUGAGGUUUGGAGUGUGGUGUUUCACUUUCAAGCUCUUCUUCUGUGGGAACUAUUACUCUGCGAUGAGAUUAUAGAGAGGACUCUCAUGACCACUGCAGGCUUCUAGAAGUACUGAGUCAGGAAUAAAUUCAAAAUGCUUUUGUAAAUGGAAGGCUUCUUCGUUGGUCAGCAAAGAAAGGCACUGAGGUCCUCUGCUUACAAAAAGCAAUCGGAAAGCACGAUGUAUUUUCCCACUGCCAUCAGAGUUGAUGAAAGGCUCUAACCAAAACUGACAGAAGCUGGAGAGAAGGAAGGCUAGAAGUCUGGGAGGAGUUGUCGGUUUUGACUUGGACCUCGCCACUUUAUUCUGAGUGGUUUUCUUGGACUAGCUACUAAUAUUCUCCGGUCUCCGAUUUUUCACACUUAAAAUGAGGAUAAUACAAUACGCUCCUUUUGAAAGUCACGAAAAUGAAAUCCCCAUAUAAUACCAUAAUGAGAAGAGGUCUCUCUGUGUAGCCCUGGCUGUCCUGAAGCUUGCUCUGUAUACUCUACUAUUGGCUUUUAACAUUUUGCAGAGUACCUUCCUGUAACAAAGAUGCUAAUAUCAAGGUGUGAAGGCUCUCUGUAGACACCCGUUCAACGUCUCCAUGAUUAUUGAACUCCUCCUCGGCUGAAGUCACCUUUUGGUCUAUUGCCUCUCUAAUGGAUCCUGGGAAAGAAGACUUUCCCGACAUAUGCUCCCCCCCCCCCCGGCCCGCCCACCCCAGCUACACACGCACAAGCUGAAGAGUUUGCACCUAUCUCGCAGUGAAUGGAAUGAGCACUGGCUUUUGUAAGGGCUGGGGAAAUGGAAAACUUCGCUGCCUACAACCCGGGUCCUGAAGCUUUUAAUCUGGUUUGCCUUGAGAAAACUCUUCAAAGAAGUGUGCUGGUAUAAGGAAGACAUUUAACUAGGAUUCCUCCACCCUCUUCCAGGCAAUCAGUUCUCUGCAUGCCUGUCAUUCAGAGUCAAUCAAGUCUUGAGAUAAAAGACACCAGACUCUAGAUGCCUUCGGACACAAACAGGCUUUCUAGUAAAGCUGGGUCCCUGUGUUUCAGCUACUUGCGCAGCAUGUGACACCGUUGCUGCGAAAUUGGAAGCUAUUGUAAUGUACAAGAAACAAAGCAGCAAGAGCUGUUUACACAAUACUCUCCAUUAGAUUUGUAUCGCAUGUUUUCAAAACUGUUCUGGGUGUUCUGCAGCCUCAGCAGUGUGUUGAUUUCUAGGCCGCUUUCUCAUAAAUUAAAUAAAAUAAAUUAAAUAAAUUAAUAAAUUAAAACAGA